rnacentral:rRNA from 1 species
GACGAACCGUGCAAACGUUAUUCGGAAUCACUGGGCAUAAAGGGCGCGUAGGCGGCUUUCUAAGUCAGGGGUGAAAUCCGGCAGCUCAACUGUCGCAGUGCCUUUGAUACAGGAGAGCUCGAGGGAGGUAGGGGUCUGUGGAACUUCCGGUGGAGCGGUGAAAUGCGUUGAUAUCGGAAGGAACGCCGGUGGCGAAAGCGACGGACUGGAUCUCUUCUGACGCUGAGGCGCGAAAGCCAGGGGAGCAAACGGG